rnacentral:rRNA from 1 species
AUUGAACGCUGGCGGCAGGCCUAACACAUGCAAGUCGAGCGGAUGAAGGGAGCUUGCUCCUGGAUUCAGCGGCGGACGGGUGGGUAAUGCCUAGGAAUCUGCCUGGUAGUGGGGGCUAACGUCCGGAAACGGGCGCUAAUACCGCAUCCGUCCUGAGGGUGAAAGUGGGGGAUCUUCGGACCUCACGCUAUCAGAUGAGCCUAGGUCGGAUUAGCUAGUUGGUGGGGUAAAGGCCUACCAAGGCGACGAUCCGUAACUGGUCUGAGAGGAUGAUCAGUCACACUGGAACUGAGACACGGUCCAGACUCCUACGGGAGGCAGCAGUGGGGAAUAUUGGGCAAUGGGCGAAAGCCUGAUCCAGCCAUGCCGCGUGUGUGAAGAAGGUCUUCGGAUUGUAAAGCUCUUUAAGUUGGGAGGAAGGGCAGUAAGUUAAUACCUUGCUGUUUUGACGUUACCAACAGAGUAAGCACCGGCUAACUUCGUG